rnacentral:rRNA from 1 species
AACGAACGCUGGCGGCAUGCCUAACACAUGCAAGUCGAACGAGACCUUCGGGUCUAGUGGCGCACGGGUGCGUAACGCGUGGGAACCUGCCCUUAGGUUCGGAAUAACUCCCCGAAAGGGGUGCUAAUACCGGAUAAUGUCUUCGGACCAAAGAUUUAUCGCCUUUGGAUGGGCCCGCGUUGGAUUAGCUAGUCGGUAGGGUACAAGCCUACCAAGGCGACGAUCCAUAGCUGGUCUGAGAGGAUGAUCAGCCACACUGGGACUGAGACACGGCCCAGACUCCUACGGGAGGCAGCAGUGGGGAAUAUUGGACAAUGGGCGAAAGCCUGAUCCAGCAAUGCCGCGUGAGUGAUGAAGGCCUUAGGGUUGUAAAGCUCUUUUACCCGGGAUGAUAAUGACAGUAACGGGAGAAUAAGCUCCGGCUAACUCCGUG